GACGAAGGUGGCGAGCGUUGUUCGGAAUCACUGGGCUUAAAGCGUAUGUAGGCGGAUAAGUAAGCGCUUUGUGAAAUCCCCCGGCUUAACCGGGGAAUUGCUUGGCGAACUGCUUAUCUUGAGGCAAGUAGGGGUGCAUGGAACUCUUGGUGGAGCGGUGGAAUGCGUAGAUAUCAAGAGGAACGCCAGCGGUGAAAACGGUGCACUGGACUUGUCCUGACGCUCAGAUACGAAAGCGUGGGGAGCGAACGGG
rnacentral:rRNA from 1 species